AACGCUAGCUACAGGCUUAACACAUGCAAGUCGAGGGGAAACGACAUCGAAAGCUUGCUUUUGAUGGGCGUCGACCGGCGCACGGGUGAGUAACGCGUAUCCAACCUGCCCAUCACUUGGGGAUAACCUUGCGAAAGUAAGACUAAUACCCAAUGACGUCUCUAGAAGGCAUCUGAAGGAGAUUAAAGAUUUAUCGGUAAUGGAUGGGGAUGCGUCUGAUUAKCUUGUUGGCGGGGUAACGGCCCACCAAGGCAACGAUCAGUAGGGGUUCUGAGAGGAAGGUCCCCCACAUUGGAACUGAGACACGGUCCAAACUCCUACGGGAGGCAGCAGUGAGGAAUAUUGGUCAAUGGGCGAGAGCCUGAACCAGCCAAGUAGCGUGCAGGAUGACGGCCCUAUGGGUUGUAAACUGCUUUUAUAAGGGAAUAAAGUGAGUCUCGUGAGACUUUUUGCAUGUACCUCAUGAAUAAGGACCGGCUAAUUCCGUGCCAGCAGCCGCGGUAAUACGGAAGGUCCGGGCGUUAUCCGGAUUUAUUGGGUUUAAAGGGAGCGUAGGCCGGAGAUUAAGCGUGUUGUGAAAUGUAGACGCUCAACGUCUGCACUGCAGCGCGAACUGGUUUCCUUGAGUACGCACAAAGUGGGCGGAAUUCGUGGUGUAGCGGUGAAAUGCUUAGAUAUCACGAAGAACUCCGAUUG
rnacentral:rRNA from 1 species